UACAGAGGUCUCAACCGUUGUUCGGAUUCAUUGGGCGUAAAGGGUGCGUAGGCGGUCGCGUAAGUCAGGUGUGAAAUCUCAGGGCUCAACCCUGAAACUGCACUUGAUACUGUGUGGCUCGGGUACUGGAGAGGAGACUGGAAUUUACGGUGUAGCAGUGAAAUGCGUAGAUAUCGUAAGGAAGACCAGUGGCGAAGGCGAGUCUCUGGACAGUUACCGACGCUGAGGCACGAAGGUCAGGGGAGCAAACGGG
rnacentral:rRNA from 1 species